AGACCCGAAACCCGGUGAUCUAGCCAUGGGCAGGUUGAAGGUUGGGUAACACUAACUGGAGGACCGAACCGACUAAUGUUGAAAAAUUAGCGGAUGACCUGUGGCUGGGGGUGAAAGGCCAAUCAAACCGGGAGAUAGCUGGUUCUCCCCGAAAGCUAUUUAGGUAGCGCCUCGUGAAUUCAUCUCCGGGGGUAGAGCACUGUUUCGGCUAGGGGGCCAUCCCGGCUUACCAACCCGAUGCAAACUGCGAAUACCGGAGAAUGUUAUCACGGGAGACACACGGCGGGUGCUAACGUCCGUCGUGAAGAGGGAAACAACCCAGACCGCCAGCUAAGGUCCCAAAGUCAUGGUUAAGUGGGAAACGAUGUGGGAAGGCCCAGACAGCCAGGAUGUUGGCUUAGAAGCAGCCAUCAUUUAAAGAAAGCGUAAUAGCUCACUGGUCGAGUCGGCCUGCGCGGAAGAUGUAACGGGGCUAAACCAUGCACCGAAGCUGCGGCAGCGAACGUAUCACUUAAAGCGAUUCAGCGGGUUACGAUUGACGGAGCGAAGCGACGUCA
rnacentral:rRNA from 3 species